UACGUAGGUCCCAAGCGUUAUCCGGAAUUACUGGGCGUAAAGAGUCUGUAGUCGGUCUCGAAAGUCUACUUUCAAAUCCCUCAGCUUAACUGAGGACAGGGAGUGGAUACUACGAGUCUGGAAGUCUUCAGGGGUGAGUAGAAUUUCCGGUGGAGAGGUGAAAUUCGUUGAUAUCGGAAGGAAUGCCAAAAGCGAAAGCAGCUCACUAUGAAUAUCUUGACGAUGAGAGACGAAAGCUUGGGUAGCAAACGGG
rnacentral:rRNA from 1 species